GAAUAUACAGGAAAUUAUAGUAAGAAACUUCUUUUUAGAUUCUUUAGGGUACUGAUUCCCCUUCGCCGUCAAUUUUCAACGAGAACGCAAGUUUUCCAACGUGUAGCCGAAACGGCGGGCAACUGUUAUGUUUAACAACAAACCAGCUGUGUGGUAAAUAUAGAAAUAUGUAAGCGCAUGUACGCGUAGAUCAACACACUCACAGACACGCGCUUGUUGUUGCGCUCACUCGGCCGCACAAAAACAAGGAAGCAAUUUAAUAGUCAACAAAGUCAAAAGUUUUCAAUUUUCAGAUUUUCACUUCACUUAAGCGUUUGCCAUUCAUUUUUCAUAGACACGGGCGAUGAGUUUUGGAAAAUUUUAUCAAACUACUUACUUACUUACUCGCUCACUCACUCACACACUUAUUUACUAACAAAGCCACCGUUGGUACUACCUCUGUGCGGCUGCUGCCACACGCAUUACGAACUCAUUACCGCGCCUUCGCCGUUGCGCUCCAACUUAAUGCCAAGGCGAUGACUGGCGCAGCAGCUGCUGCCACUGAGGAGCAUGAGUCUGUGUGUGUGUGUGGAUUGAGCAUUCGCAUUCAAACAACUAAGAAAUCAACUAACAACAAUAACAACAAUGACAGCGGUAUUUGCAAAAAGAAGAAGAAAAGAAGCAG